AUUUCCUUUAAAUUUAAAGAAUUUGGCGGUAAUUUAGUCUAGUCAGAGGAACCUGUUCAUUAAUCGAUAAACCUCGCAAUAUCUUACUUAUUUUAAAAUAUAUUAGUUUGUAUACCAUCAUUAUCAGAUAAUUUUAUAAGAGAAUUAAAUUAUUAAAAUUAACAUUGUUACAUAAAUUAGAUCAAGGUGCAGCUUAUAAAUAAGUUAGAAUGGGUUACAAUAAAAAUUUAUUUAAACGGAUUAAUUUUUGUAAAGGAGUAUAAAGGAGGAUUUGAUUGUAAUAUAAAUUUAAUAAGUUUAUAAGAUACAAGCCCUAAAUUAUGUACACAUC
rnacentral:rRNA from 1 species